rnacentral:lncRNA from 1 species
GCCCUCUGACCCCGCAGCGUCGUGGCUAGAGUAGGGUCUGGAGAGAGCUCCCACUGUGGCGAGUCCUGUCGUUGGAUUCCCGCGGCGCCCCGUAAGGCUCCGCCCCGGCGGUGCUACCAAACCCUGUUCGAUUUUAGAAUCGUACAUUCCCAGAGGGAAUCCUAGACCCCUCAUUUUACAGUUGAGGAAACAGGCCCAAGUAGCAUGACUUGUUCGCGCCGCUAGUCGAAGGAGCAGCAGCCCCGAUCCCUUGACUCUGGGGCACUGCUUUCCCUUUAGCUCAUUUUUGGAGGAAAUGGGUGCGCCCUUGCUCGACCUUUGGUGAUUGCCGCCACAGGCCUUCCCGCCGGCUAACUCAGCGUGCCCAAGUCCCGUGACUUAGUGCCAGGACGGUGCUGUGACCCGUUAUCCCCUGUCGGGUUUUACCUCCCCCCGGGAGAGCUCAGCCCUGGAUCCCGGCGGGCGGCGGAGCCUCUCUGGAGCCCGGACGGGACAGCCCACCAGGGUCUGCUUCUGUGAGGGGCCGAGGCGUCAUUCCGCGAAGCCUUCUCCUUGCUGUUGCCAUGUGAAGAAGGAUGUGUUUGCUUCCCCUUCUGCCAUGAUUGUAAGUUUUCUGAAGCCUCUCCAGCCAUGCCAAACUGAAGCUGCUGGAAGGUACACAUCUUGGGAGUUUGCCCUUUGAAGCUCACCUGUGGACCUUUUUUCCUUUCGAAAAGAAGCAUAAGCUGCAAUAAAAAUUUGGUUUCAAGAUAACAAAGUCAGUCCCCAAAAAUCAGUAUUGAGAGUCACUGACAUUAAAUGAUGAAGAUACGAGGAUGGUGUGGGGACCUUUACUCUUCGAAGAUGAGCUAUACAUGCCCCUGAAAAGGCUGUCUGAAGACAGGGGAAGGCUGGAGAUGGCAACUUUGGCCUCUGCCAAGUACUCGUGCUAUUUUCUGUAUGUGAUACUAUCUGUUUUGUAACUCAGAGGCAACACCACAUACCUAGCAUAAGGCUUGAACUCCCUUUGGGGUUAUCAAUUACUUACAUAGCCUUCCUCUAAGGGAAGGCUUGCAAGUGGUUCAUAUUCGACCCUUCCAUGUGAUAAGCAUUCAUGUGGGCUUCACAAUGUAACAGAGGUACACAGAGAUUCUUGUAAACAGAAAAUUUUAUAAAACUGUUAACUGAUCUCACUUUGAAGAAGUCUUACUGACUAGAUGUCAUUUAUCAGAGUAGACAGGCUUAAAAUGCAUUGCUUGUACUAGACUGUUGUAAUGCAUUUUUUUGUUUUUGCAUUGGUUUUUAAUUCAUUUAAUUGGUUUACACUCAUUUUUUUUUUUACAUUCCAUUUUUGCAUUUGUAUGCCAGUUAAAAAUUAUGAAAUGGCACAUUGUGGGAUUUUGUUUAGCUAAAUUCUAGAAAAAUUGAAAGAUACCUUUUAUUCGACUUAAGCCUGAGGUUAUUCAGCACGGUGAUCUCUGCAUUUUUGAAAGGUUGUCUCGUCGUUUAAUAAACGUAAAUAACUUAAGCACAUUGGAAGAGCUAUUAAAUGAGAGCAGGAGAUUAAAAAGACAUGAUUUCUUACUUUAUCCACCUGACAGGAUAGCUUGCAUUGGUGAUUAACCUUGCAUUGUUAAAUUCAUUUCCUAAAUAUUUAGGUAAGUAGUUGGUUUGAUCAUUAUUUGUAAAGUAUUAGUAGUUGCAUGUUGAAUUAUCAUGUUAAGAUUUUUAGUUUGUUGUUCAUGUGAUAUGAAAGAUAACAAUUCCUAAAACUGAAUGCAUGCAUGGCUUAUUCAGCUCAGGUCACAUACAAAGAGAAAUGUGACGCUGCAAUAAACAUAGCAGAGCUAUCUGGGUUUGAAGCAAAAAGGCUAUGACGUUAGGUAUAUGCACUUUACAUUGUAUGUAUCUUUUUAGUUCUAGUGAACUCAUCUGGAAUCAUGUUACAGAAAAUGAUUCUCCAGGUCCAAACACAUUUAAGUUUAAUGACUGGGACUACUCUAACAAUUGCGGCUAUCUCAUUUUGUCUCAUUGGUUCAUUAGCAUAGCACCCAUUUAAGAACAACUACUUCUAAACACAGUAAUAUUUCAGAGGCUAUAAAAUAAUAGAGAAAGAAAACUUAAAAAAUCCUUUGUUUGCAGCCAAGAAAAUGUGAGGAUCAGAUUUGUACUUGUUUUGAACAAUUGGAAACUGUCACAAUUGUUUUUAAGAUGUAAUAAAUGUAUAUAAAAUAUGGGAUUCUAUAGUAUUAGCCAUUUUGAUAUCUUUUGUUGAAAGAAAAAACCAAAAAACCCCAUAUGUUCUAAGUCUCAGAAAUCAAAGAAUUCCACAAUUUUCAUUUCCACUAAAAUAUUUAUUUAAUGGAUAUCUUACAGAAAUAAAUAAAAACAGUUUUUGUCUAAUACAGAUAGGUUUUUUUAUAUAUAUGUAAUUUGAUUUUACAAAAUUGAAGCAUAUCAAAUUGUUUUCUCUAAAACAUAGCUCAGAAAGGAAUAGUAGAAAACAAACACAAAGAAAUACUGAAAUAGUCUCAUUUUUAAAUUAUAAGCAUGGGCCUUCUGAAUCUCAGCAUGACAUGUUAUUAGUAAAAGAAUGUAAGAUAUGGAGUCAGGGGACCUGGGCUCCACUGUUUACUUGCUACAUGUCCUAAGAAAGUUUCAAUAUAUCUGAACUUCAGUUCUCUACCUUUAAAACAGUAAAGAUAUUAAUUAUAUCAACUUCACAAGAUUGUUGGGUAAAUUAAACACGUAAAUGUACAUGAAAGCUCUUUUUAAUAUGUGAAGAGCUAUAAAAAUAACAGUUUGAUUUAAUUUCAUAUAAAAGAAUCAAUGGAUACCUCCUUUUAACUGAAGAAUAAGCACCAAAAGCAUGUGUGUGUUUUCUUCAGUUGAAUUACAUCACUCUAUAAACCUAGAGUAAGAAAAUGCACCUUAACUAAGCACCAAAGCCUCUCGGACAAAUGGGAUCUAGGGAAUGGUUCUAUGAGUUUUCCAGGCAGCUAACUGGGAGCUAAUAAGUCCUGAGGGUCAAAGAGGGUCCUUUAAAACUCUGAAGGCUCAAAGAAAAGGAAGCCAAAUAAGAACAUUUGUAUUACAUCAAAUGGCUAGGAUGUAACAAGCUACUCCUUAUUCAGCAAUUUCAAAGUCCAUUAAUUCCUCACAGAAGAAGAAACACUUCGUUAUUAUCACUUGCAACGAUUUGCUUAUGUGAACAUGGCAUUCUCUUGUUCAAAAGGUCAAAGACUCGUGCUUAAGGGAGGAACAACUGGAGUGAAAUAACAACUCUACCAUGAAUUCAGAUAUCACUGGCUAAAAAGUCUAGUUACACAAGAACAUGGGAAAGAAAAAGAAUCCAAGACAUC